rnacentral:rRNA from 1 species
AGCGAAGCAUUUAACAUGAAGUUUUCGGAUGGAAUGUUAUCUGACUGAGCGGCGGACGGGUGAGUAACGCGUGGGUAACCUGCCUUAUACAGGGGGAUAACAGUUAGAAAUGACUGCUAAUACCGCAUAAGCGCACAGUACUGCAUGGUACAGCGUGAAAAACUCCGGUGGUAUAAGAUGGACCCGCGUCUGAUUAGCCAGUUGGCGGGGUAACGGCCCACCAAAGCGACGAUCAGUAGCCGACCUGAGAGGGUGACCGGCCACAUUGGGACUGAGACACGGCCCAAACUCCUACGGGAGGCAGCAGCGGGGAAUAUUGCACAAUGGGGGAAACCCUGAUGCAGCAACGCCGCGUGAGUGAAGAAGUAUUUCGGUAUGUAAAGCUCUAUCACCAGGGAAGAAGAUGACGGUACCUGAUUAAAAAGCCCCGGCUAACUACGUGCCAGCAGCCGCGGUAAUACGUAGGGGGCAAGCGUUAUCCGGAUUUACUGGGUGUAAAGGGAGCGCAGACGGCAGUGCAAGUCUGGAGUGAAAGCCCGGGGCCCAACCCCGGAACUGCUCUGGAAACUGUGCGGCUAGAGUACUGGAGGGGCAGGCGGAAUUCCUAGUGUAGCGGUGAAAUGCGUA